rnacentral:snRNA from 1 species
GUGCUCACUUCAGCAGCACAUAGACUAAAACUGAAAUGAUACAGAGAAGAUUAGCAUGACCUCUGUACAAGGAUGGCACGCAAAUUCAUGAAGCGUUCCAUACUUUU